GCAUCACAACAGACAUCUGGAGGCAACAGACAUCAGCAGUGCAGUAUUCAUCCAAAUUAUCAGUCUUGCAUCAUUUCACGUUUUCUGCAAAUCGUGCAUUUCCCAGAGGGGAUGGUAAUAUGGUCCUAACCGGACUGUCACUAGAAGACUGCGCUGGUCAGUGUCUAGCUGCCUUGGUCUUCUCGUGCCGGACAUUUCAGUACCAACCAAGUAGUGGCAAGUGUUCCCUCACCUCUGACCUCCCUGACACAAGUCAUACAGCAAGCCACGUGGAGGCGUCGCAUGUCUACACACGCGAUUAUACACUGGGGUUUGGAGUGCUCUAUUCCACGUACAUCGGGAACAAGUCCUUCUCAGAGACACACCCCAGCAUUCCCACGGUCAACUCGUGUGCACAGCUUUGUAUAGAUGCGUCGACGUCAAAACCAUGUACAUCUUUUAAUUAC